GAGGGUAUAGUUCAGUGGUAGAGUGCAUGCCUUGCAUGCACAGGGUCCUGGGUUCAAUCCCCAGUAUCUCCA
rnacentral:tRNA from 1 species